GAUGAAGAACGUAGCGAAACGCGAUAGGUAAUGUGAAUUGCAGAAUUCCGUGAAUCAUCGAAUCUUUGAACGCACAUUGCGCCCUGUGGUAUUCCGCAGGGCAUGCCUGUUCGAGCGUCAUUGACACCCUCAAGCUCUGCUUGGUCUUGGGCGUUUGUGCCUGCCGUUGCGCAGGGACUCGCCUCAAACUCAUUGGCAGCCUGCCUUUGCCGGUCUUUGCACAGCACAGUCGUGCCAAAGCCGCGGUGAGCAGGCGCUCCACAAGCCCUUUUCAGCUUGACCUCGGAUCAGGUAGGAAUACCCGCUGAACUUAAGCAUAUCAAUAAGCGGAGGA
rnacentral:misc_RNA from 1 species